CAGGAAACGGCUAGCUUCUGUGGUAAUGCUAACGUGGUUUCUACCGUCCGUGUUAAUGGAAAUGAGAAAGCCAGAAAAUGAACACGAACAAUAAAGAUAAAUGCAUUAAACAUCAAGGAGCGAAUUGACACAAUGCAGCUCCUCCUGAUUGGGCCUGAUGAGCUGCAGCUGAGGAAACACACCUGGCCGCCACACCCUGCAGUGAGAGAAGGUUAGGAGAAACACACACACCCCAAUCUGCACAUUGCUCUGUGAAUAGUAGUAGCCACAUAUUUGAACAAUUAGCAAGAGUUGCUAAACAAAAACUAAACUAAAAGAUACAAAGAUUGCAAACAUGGGGAUGUUAUUGUCUUCUUUCAUCACAAUUACAAUGUUUUGUGUUAGUGUUUUAUUUGUGAAUACUGUAAUAAACAUACAAUGUGGAAUUAUUUAUAUGUUCUUAUUUCCUGCAUAAAUUGACACCCAAUAACUGUAUUAAGUCUUAAGCUUGUGAGUACUAGUUUUCCGUUUCAGACUCCAGUUCUGGUUUUAAUCUGCUCUCAGAUUUUUGUGAUAUUAAAUAUUAGACUUUUCUUCCUUUAGUGUGACAUUUAUCCUGGACUUUUUAAUUCGUAAGAUUAUAUCUUAAACUUUGUGGCAACUUGCUUCAGUCACCCGGAUUUCUUUGCUAAUUACUGCCUCUUGGAAUCGGUCCAGCCACCUUUGCAUGCAAUGCCUUUAUGGUUUUGAAUGUUUGUCACAAACAAAAAGGUUCUGUGUUGCACUGAAGCAAAAUUAUUGCCCGUGAUCUCCUCUGCAUUCCUUCCUGGCAUCUGAACUCCCCCAUCUGCUCAGCCUCGCUCAGCCAUUCCAGAAAGCUCCAGUAUAAUUACAAGUCUCUCCUCUGACCAUUUCGAGACGCUUACAGUUAGUGGGGUGUGAAGAAGAUGCAUGAUUGCUUGUUAAACCUUGACACCGCGGACUGCAGUGCUCAACACACAGAAGCAACAUGAGAGAUACUCAAUUUAGAGCAAUAAUUUUACACUCACUUCAGGACAGGACACCAGAAACUCACACUGGGAAGUUGUUGGUUGGUAUUUAAAAAAGAUAAAACAAUGAAAAGUAACUCCCUUCAGGAACCAUUGACUGUGAAGCACUUUGAAGCAUACAAGUAUAAAUAUUCAGUUUCCCCUUGGGGAUCAAUACAGUAAAUUAUAUUGUAAUAUUUCAGUUACAAUUGUAACACAUGUGCAGUGAAGAAGUUACAAAAUCACCUAAAUUUGAAGCCAGCUUGACCUCAAAAUGACUCCAACUGAAGAGCAAAGUUGUUUUACUUCAGUUUGUCUUGAUAUGUUUCAGAAUAUUUUGUGCUGCUCUGUGGGAACGCUUCUCAUCUCCCAGCUCUAUUUGCUGAUAAAAAAUAGCAAAUGUCCCAGAGAGGAGCAUUUUUCCGGUAGGACUGCAGGGCAUGGUAUGAUUUGUGGGUAGUUAGAUUGUCGAAGGCACUCCGCCUUAUUUUAAAGCGUACAUGGAUGUGUCCAGGAGGUCCAAAACAGUCCCCAAAUAGAUCAGAUAAUUCAGAUAUAUGUGAAAGCACCUGUGUGAUUUAAUGGGUGUGACAUUUUUAAAAUUGAAGCCACCACAGGACUGGCACCAGUGGCUCCAUCUUGUAUUAUGUCUAUCACUCAUUCUGCGCUGAGCAUGAUAGGCCCUGGGGGCGAUGAUAAAAAUGUGACAUUAUGAAGGGUCACAGCUUGUAAUUGUGAUGGUGAAUCAAAUUAUAAUCCAUUAAAAGACGAAUUAAGCCCAAAAGAACAGAAAGAAGAGAGGUGUUUCCAUUAGUAACAGCAGGAAUAAGCAUCCAGGAAAACUCUUUUUAUAAUUAAAAGAUUUACAUAACUCUCCAACGAGAAGAUUACAUAAAUGGAUCCCUGUAUAAUUCAUUAGUGUGAAUCCCUCAGCUUCUUCUGUCCGCACAGUCUUAUCUAAGAUUUUCAGGUUAGAAGAGGUCAAUUUGUAAAGGAAGACUGGACAGAUGUAGAAACAGAUAAGCUAACAGAAAGGAUGUGACUAAAGCGCAUCAACGGCCCACUGAGCCAAGGAAGGAGAAGCAUGUUUACAUAUGGGCAUGAAUGAAGCUUUGUCAAAUCAAAAUCUGCCUCAGAAAGACAUUCAAAGAGGUCCAUUCAUAUUAGUCAUAUAAUGGUAAAACUACAAUAAACGUCUAAAUGUAUAGAUAUGCAUUUCCUAUUUGUUUCAACCUUUAAUCAUUAGCUGGAUUGCAGCUUUUUGUAGUAGUGUGCAUCUUUGUUCUUGGUUCUUUGUUGACUUCCUGGAUGAGUUUUGGUUGCACUCUUAGAGUAAUUUUGGUUGAUCUGCCAUUUCUAGGAAGGUUCGUGUCUGUAUCAUGUUUGUUUUCUCCUCCAUUUUUGGAUUAUAUCUCCCACUGUGCUGUGGAGUCCUAAAGUCUUAAAAGAGACUGACAGAUGUCAGUGAUUUUCUUUCUCCUCUGUUUGUGGAUUUCUGUAAAUUCAGGCAUUUUUGAGAUCUUUUAACAUACUUCGAGAAGUCAGACAAUUUCAAAUUUGACAUAUGAUGAUGAGUGAGAUUGACUAGAAAGCUUUGUAAUUAAUCACAUUUAUUUGGAAGCAUGUUAAAAUUAGUUUGAUUUGAAGCAUUCUUUUUUCUCUUCUUUUUUUUUUUUUAGCAGAAAUGCUGUUAGACUCUGUCAUACCUUUAGUCCCAAACUGCCAAAUCCAUCUUCCACCUAUAUUUAUGAAUAUGCAAGAGUUAAAAAGUACCUUGACAUCCUACUUACAUCAGCUGAAAAAUGCUGCAAGUAAGCUAUAUUUUUAAUGAAAAACAGUACUUUUAACCCCUAGUUACGAUGCAACAAGAUAUCAAUGUUAUGGUAUGCAUGCAGACAUAGCAGAAAUAUCUGCAUUCCCACACAGUCUUAAGAUGUAAAACAUGUUUUUUGUAUAUUCAUGUGUAAAAAUGUUACUUUUGCCCAUCUCUGCAGAAAAUCAAAACAUCUUGCCAUUCAUUCAAAAACUACUUAGACAAAAUGUCUCCUCAUCUCAAACCCCAAACCCCUAAGAGGCAGACCGCAUUCAUGCUACCUAACCUUAAGCAGAGAGAGAGCACACUGAUUUGAUUAGGCCUACUCCAGUUUUUAAAGUCUCCUGGAAAUGUCAGCAAAAUCAUCAAAGCGUCCGUAUGCUUUAUAAAGCCAACAUCAAAGGCAUUCCCUGCAUACUGCGUCCUCCAUAUUAUUGGCUCACGGCUAAAACCUCUACAUCUGCACAACAUUAUUAGUUUUAUGGGGCUGUUGUAAGUGGAGACAGACUGAAAACAGCAGAGACAAGUGACAUUUCCCCCUCGCAGCUCCACCAGCAGCCCACCAACUCUCUGCUGCAUUUGCAAAUAUACAUUGGAUGUUCUCUGUAUGAUAUCACACCCUUUCUGUUUGCUUACUCUCCCCCCUCGUCUUAAAUCACGUUUGGUUUACUCCCCUUUGUUUACUCACAAAGGCCCACAUUUUUCCUAUUUUUACUUGCGUGACUUCUGGAAAUUCUUCCAAAUUUACAAUUUGGCACUAUUUUGUGUUUAUUUAUAACAUAAAAUCCCCAAAAAUCCAUUAACGUUUGAAGGUGCAAUGUGACGAAUGGUGGAGAAGUUAAAAAAUCUCUUACCUUUCAAUAUUUCACCACUGUUUCCCACAAUAAUAAGAAAUAAAAGACUUACUUUAGUAAUUGUAAAUUGCAUUUUGGGGUUGAUUUCUUUCCCAGAUGUUGCAGAAAUACAAAAGACUCAAACCCCCCAUGCUGCUGGAAACCACUGGACUCAGAAAAGCUGUGAACGAUGAGACUUAUCAGUGCGUUCCUAAAUGCCACAUUAUGCCAUCAAUCGUCCUGGACCAAAAAUGGGUCGCCCAACAAAAUAAUGACCUGAAGCACU